GACUGUUUCCUGAAGAGAGGUUGGUCUUGUCGCUGAUGACUCGAGUGCUACCUGAAGAUAGCUUUUGGCUCAUGUCCCGGCUGCCACAUGAAGGAUGAGUUACCAGCAUAUUGAAGAGUAGACUUUUGCCUCUGGGGUUUUCAUGGAGUGGUGUAGUACCUUCCAAGUUCUGAAACUACGCACUUUAAUUUUGUGCAUGUGGCUACAUGACCUGUCAUCCUGAUUCCUGCCCAUAUGGGUGCUGCUUCGAGAGGAGAGAGACUACAUACGAUCUGGCAUUUUGUCUGAUGUGUCACCUCAGCGCACGUUCUUUGUGAAAUACAGUAUAACCUGUCAUCUUGUACUACUGCUACUACUACUCCUACUCCGAGCCAGUAUUUUCUGCACUUGUCACCAUCAUUUUCUGGAGUAUUGUGUUGCUGGUUCCCGCUGUAGCCUAGCUGCCCAUGUACUCGAUGCUUCUUCAAUCCAAUAGUUUUAUUUUGUUAGUCCGUG
rnacentral:lncRNA from 1 species